AUGACCUAUGAAUUGACAGCUAGUGGAUGUACAGUCUGACUGUCAGUUCUGUAGGGCACAG
rnacentral:pre_miRNA from 1 species